rnacentral:lncRNA from 1 species
AUUUUUCUUGCAUCUCCUAAAUCUUUCAUGUCAAAUUUCGAUUUUAAAAGGUUUUUCAUCUUUAUGAUUUCAGCUUUACUAGGACUAGUGAGCAACAUGUCAUCCACAUAUAACAAUAAAUAAACUUCACAACCUAUUUUAGAGUUAUUAAAAUAUAGACAUGCAUCAAAUUCACUCCUCUUAAAACCAAUUUUAAGCAUAUAAACAUCAUAUCUCUUAUACCAUUACCUAGGACUCUGCUUAAGAUCAUAUAAGGACUUUCUAAGCAAACACACAAGUUCUAAUUUUCCCUUCACCUCGAACCCUUGAGGUUGAGACUUGUAAAUCAAUUCAUCUAACUCCCCAUAAAGAAAAGCCGUCUUAAAAUCUAGUUGCUCCAACUCCCAGUCAUACUGGACAACUAAAGCUAAGACUAACCUGAUAGUUUUAUUCUAAAUAACUGGUGAGAAUACCUCAUUAUAGUCUAUCCCUUCUCUCUGAGUAAAUCCCUUCGCAACCAACCUAGCUUUGUAUGUUAAAGGGUCUUUAGGUCCUACUCCUUCUUUUAACUUGUAGAUCCAUUUACAAUGGACUACCUUUUGAUUCUUUGAUUUUUCAACGAACUUUCAAGUCUCAUUUUUGUUUAGAGACUGGAUCUCUUCUCUCAUUGUCUUUUUCCAAUUUUCAGAAUUGUCACAGUUAACCGCUUCCUCAAAUGAAGUCGGUUCAACUGACUCCAAGGCUUCACUUGAAACUAGGACAAAUUCCAUCAAAUUUGAAGAGAUGUAUUUCAAAUUGG